GAUUUUGGUCUGGUUUUUCCCGAGCUGGAAACUCGUUUAGUUCAACGAGUUGCAUGAUGACGAGCCAACCCACGAGAGACUUGACCGAGUAAAUUUAACCUCAGAACGGGCUCUCACCAUGUCAUCAACCUAGAAUCUAAACUUGGCAUGCGUCUUAUUUUAAUCUGCCUCUUUACCUAUUGCCUUUUCAUCUACCAGCUCAUAUUUCUCAUGAAGGCCAUCAACAUGAAGAGGUGUGUUCAGAGCCAUCUUGUCAGAGCCUCCAUUUACCACACCUCCAGUGAUCGAUACUCCGACCGUAGAUUUCUUUUGUAAGAACUCUCAAAAGAACAGUAACCAGCCUCAGUGGAUCGAGAAAAUGGAGCGAGUAAUUUGGUGCCAAAUGCCUAUACUUUAGCUUGAAUACAUGAAAGCACUUCACCUGAUUAAAAAGUAUGUUAAUGCCCUCUUAUCUAGGGGUAGUUUAUCUUCAUUUAAUGCAAC